AUACGGAGGGUGCAAGCGUUAAUCGGAAUUACUGGGCGUAAAGCGUACGUAGGCGGUUAAGUCAGUCAGAUGUGAAAGCCCUGGGCUCAACCUGGGAACUGCAUUUGAUACUGCUUGGCUAGAAUAUGGUAGAGGGAAGUGGAAUUCCGGGUGUAGCGGUGAAAUGCGUAGAUAUCCGGAGGAACACCAGUGGCGAUGGCGGCUUCCUGGACCAAUAUUGACGCUGAGGUACGAAAGCGUGGGUAGCAAACAGGAUUAGAAACCCCAGUAGUCC
rnacentral:rRNA from 1 species